rnacentral:rRNA from 1 species
UCCGUAGGUGAACCUGCGGAAGGAUCAUUAUAGAAAUAAAACUGAACAGGCUGUUUGCUGGUCCUUCUUGAGGGACAUGUGCACGCCUGUCGUCUUUAUUUUUUCCAACUGUGCACAUAUUGUAGACCUGGAGUUUUUCUUAUCGUUCGAAUAGAUUGAGGACUGCCGUCGAGGCUUUGCCUUGUAUUUUCCAGGUCUAUGUUGUAAUACAUUUUCACAACGUGUUUCAGAAUGUUGAGUACUGGGGAUAACAAAUAUACAACUUUCAGCAACGGAUCUCUUGGCUCUCGCAUCGAUGAAGAACGCAGCGAAAUGCGAUAAGUAAUGUGAAUUGCAGAAUUCAGUGAAUCAUCGAAUCUUUGAACGCAUCUUGCGCUCCUUGGUAUUCCGAGGAGCAUGCCUGUUUGAGUGUCAUCAAAAGUUCUCAACCAUGUUGGUUCUUCUGGCAUGGCUUGGAUUUGGGGGUUGCAGGCUUAGGUCGGCUCCUCUUGAAAGGAUUAGUGGUAUCCGAGGUACCUUUGGGUGUGAUAAUUAUCUAUGCCUUGGUGUGUACUGUUGCGUGAACUGCUUCCAACCGAGUGUUGACAAAUUUGACCUCAAAUCAGGUAGGACUACCCGCUGAACUUAAGCAUAUCAAUAAGCGGAGGA